GGAGAGAUGGCUCAGUGGUUAAGAGCACUGACUGUUCUUCCAGAGGUUCUGAGUUCAAUUCCCAGCAACCACA
rnacentral:tRNA from 1 species